rnacentral:rRNA from 1 species
UGGGGAAUUUUGGACAAUGGGCGAAAGCCUGAUCCAGCAAUGCCGCGUGUGUGAAGAAGGCCUUCGGGUUGUAAAGCACUUUUGUCCGGAAAGAAAUCCUUGGCUCUAAUACAGUCGGGGGAUGACGGUACCGGAAGAAUAAGCACCGGCUAACUACGUGCCAGCAGCCGCGGUAAUACGUAGGGUGCAAGCGUUAAUCGGAAUUACUGGGCGUAAAGCGUGCGCAGGCGGUUUGCUAAGACCGAUGUGAAAUCCCCGGGCUCAACCUGGGAACUGCAUUGGUGACUGGCAGGCUAGAGUAUGGCGGAGGGGGGUAGAAUUCCACGUGUAGCAGUGAAAUGCGUAGAGAUGUGGAGGAAUACCGGUGGCGAAGGCAGCCCCCUGGGCCAAUACUGACGCUCAUGCACGAAAGCGUGGGGAGCAAACAGGAUUAGAUACCCU